GACGAACGCUGGCGGCAGGCCUAACACAUGCAAGUCGAGCGAGCGGCGGACGGGUGAGUAAUGUAUGGGGACUGCCCGAUAGAGGGGGAUAACUACUAGAAACGGUGGCUAAUACCGCAUACUAUCGGAUAACCCAUAUGGGAUUAGCUAGUCGGUGGGGUAAAGGCUCACCUCGGCGACGCUCUCUAGCUGGGAUGAGAGGAUGAUCGGCCACACUGGGAUUGAGACACGGCCCAGACUCCUACGGAGGCAGCAGUGGGGAAUAUUGGACAAUGGGCGCAAGCCUGAUGCAGCCAUGCCGGGUGUAUGAAGAAGGCAUUAGGGUUGUAAAGUACUUUCAUCGGGGAGGCGUUACCCGCAUAAGAAGCAACGGCUAACUCCGUGCCAGCAGCCGCGGUAAUAC
rnacentral:rRNA from 1 species